GAGUCAGCCAAGCUGGAAGCCGGAGUUGCUGCAAGGAGCUCCUGGCUGCCGCGCGGCCGAGUGUGCUUUAUGGACCAUGUGCUGCUAUGUAUGCCUGAAGUACUUGAAAUGCAAAUUUGGAGAGACUUUGCCAUCUAAAUGCUUGGCUGGAUUAAACGCCUAAUUAGGAUGGUUUUUCAACAGGUUGGAAGCAUGCAAUCGGCUUUCAGGUAUAGCACUCAAAACAGAUGGAUAGUUUUUCUCUUUAAGGAAAGAGCAUAUACUUGGGGAGAAGUAUCAAGGUACUUUGGUCUGGGAAGCCAUAUGGUUCAUCUCGAAGUAUCGUAAGGAAAAUUGGUACUAAUUUAUCUCUGAUUCAGUGUCCAAGAGUUCAGUUUCAGCUUACCAGCCCUACAACAGAAUGGAGCCCCAGCCAGCCAGGAGAGGAUGCAGUGGUGUCUUUUGCCGAUGUUGGAUGGGUAGCCAGAGAAGAAGGAGAGUGUUUAUUAACAAGACGAAGGACAGAGAUCCGGUUGAGGCAACCCCUUCAGCAUGAUCUUCCUUUCUUUGAGAAGCCCCCAGGCAGGCAGUUUUCCUUACCAAACCUGUCUCUGGAAGAGCCUCCACUGCAGACCAGGACACUGGCCAAUGAGGAAGCACUGCAGAAGAUCUGUGCCCUCGAAAGUGAGCUUGCCGCCCUCAGAGCUCAGAUUGCCAAAAUUGUGACCCUCCAAGAACAGCAAAACCUCAGUGCAGGUGACUUAGAAUCUACGGCAUCCGUUGCCACAGUGCCACCCUCUGUCCCGCCACCUCCCCCUCCGCCACCUCCCCUCCCUCCGUCAGGGCUCCACCAAAGCACAUCUGCUAUUGAUCUGAUUAGAGAUCGAAGAGAGAAAAACGCCUGUUCUGGAAAGACUUCAGUCAAGAGCAGUCCAAAGAAAUCUGAUAUGCCAAAUAUGCUGGAGAUCCUUAAAGACAUGAACAGCGUGAAACUUCGGUCAGUAAAAAGGUCAGAAGAAGAUACAAAGCCCAAACCGGUGGACGUUUCUGACCCUGCUGCCCUCAUAGCAGAGGCUCUGAAAAAGAAGUUUGCUUAUCGGUAUCGAUGUGAUAGCCAAGGUGAAGUUGAAAAAGGAAUUCCAAAGUCUGAAUCAGAGGCCACCUCAGAAAGAGUGUUGUUUGGGCCACACAUGUUGAAGUCUACAGGAAAAAUGAAGGCUUUAAUCGAAAAUGUUUCAACUUCCUAAUAGUGAGCUGAGGGAGACUAUCCUACUAGUCCAGCUGUUGGUGGAUUAGGGCUGUUCGGCUACUAGAAAUCAACACUGUUUGGUAAACACCUGAAUUUAGUGUCUCCUUUUAAGUCUCAGAGGAUUAAGCUAUAACAAAAGCACUCUUAAGUUUGUUUGCUUUUAAGAGAAGGUCUGUUCUGAAGUUUUCCAUAACAUAUUUAUAUUCUGACAUGUUUUUAAUGUGUAGCCAAGAUGUUUAGAUUUCCAGUCUGGAAAACAAUUAUAUAGAUUUCAGAACAAAAAAAGGACCUUUGUAGAUGUGAGUUUUUAAUUCUUAACACUAAUUUAUCUGUACAGAUGUUUUAUGUGCAUGUAUUUGGAUAUAAAACAGGCCAUAAGAUUUAGCAAGGGGGUGACGAGGGUGCUGAUAGUGUCAUUUGUUUUCAGUGAUCAUUUCUAUUCAGUGAUGGAGCAGCUGGGAUAACCAGGUUGUGGGAGUGAAGUGUUUUUGAGAUUGGAAUUUCUUCUUACCUUGAACAGAACUUUUUAGAUUCUCUCUCACGUUUUCUUGGAUUGGAGACGGGGUUUGAGUAGGAACCUGCUCAUGUUUGCCACUGAAAUUCCAUAAUGCUUUCCUUUAAAGAGGGAAGUCAAGGAUCAUGGAAACUGUUUUCACUGUAGUGCCGUCCAGUGCUGAGGAAGAAAAUGUAGUUUUCAAAUAGUGAGGAAUCAAAUGAUUGAAUUAAAUCUCUUUUAAAGUAAAAACUAGAAUGUACCAUCUUUUUCUUUCAGUUUAAUAAAUGGCAUGAAGAUAACUUGAUGCUAAUGCUAAUACUUCUGGAAAUGUCAGCAUAAUGGAGUUAAAAAAUUUUUAAUAUUGGUCGAAAUAGUAGCUUUAUAAUGAAACAUUGAAUAGGCGAAAGAAUUUUCUGCAAGUUGCUUAUCAUUGGUCAGAAUGCUGUUUUGCUGAAUUACAUUAUGUAGCAUAAACCUUAGGUGCUAUUAGGAAGUAGACAACUGCCUUUCUCCUCUACGACUUCUAAGGAAUUGCUACAAGUGAUCAUUUUUAAAUGCUGCAUGUAUCUUCAUGAUUUUCUAUAUUUCUGUUAAACACACAUAGUUAGUUAAUGUCAGAACCUCCUACUAUGAGUAAAUAUUUGGAAGUAUUAUUUAAAUCUAGUGAAAAGAAAGUUGUACUUCCUGGGGGGGGGGAUUAGGAGAUGUGAAGACACUUUUAAGUUAUUGAAAAUAUGUGCAGUGUUCUAAAUAAUAGCAAAUAUUAGUUGGAGGUAAUUUUCAUGGUUUGGUUAUUCAGCUUAACUUUGAACUGUGGCUUAUUUUACACAUGCUGUUAUAUUGUUUCUGAUUGUUUUCUAUGGUUUAAAACUUCUGCCUUUAAAAGGAAUUCAGAAAAUUCGCCUGAUAUAAAUUUCUUAGGAGGUCAAAGUAUGUAUAUUUGUAUCAGUAUUGAAUUUUGGGCAGUGCUCCAAUUACAAGGAAGUUACUGUUUUGAAAUAAACUUUUACUUUCCUUGGGCCAUAAUGGCUAUAAAAA